GAUGAGCGCUGGCGGCGUGCCUAAUACAUGCAAGUCGAGCGAACAGACGAGGAGCUUGCUCCUCUGACGUUAGCGGCGGACGGGUGAGUAACACGUGGAUAACCUACCUAUAAGACUGGGAUAACUUCGGGAAACCGGAGCUAAUACCGGAUAAUAUAUUGAACCGCAUGGUUCAAUAGUGAAAGACGGUUUUGCUGUCACUUAUAGAUGGAUCCGCGCCGCAUUAGAUAGUUGGUAAGGUAACGGCUUACCAAGGCAACGAUGCGUAGCCGACCUGAGAGGGUGAUCGGCCACACUGGAACUGGGACACGGUCCAGACUCCUACGGGAGGCAGCAGAAGGGAAUCGUCCGCAAUGGGCGAAAGCCUGGCGGAGCAACGCCGCGUGUGUGAUGAAGGUCUUCGGAUCGUAAAACUCUGUUAUUAGGGAAGAACAAAUGUGUACGUAACUAUGCACGUCGUGACGGUACCUAAUCAGAAAGCCACGGCUAACUACGUG
rnacentral:rRNA from 1 species